GUGGGGAAUUUUGGACAAUGGGCGCAAGCCUGAUCCAGCAAUGCCGCGUGCAGGAAGAAGGCCUUCGGGUUGUAAACUGCUUUUGUACGGAACGAAAAGGCUCUGGUUAAUACCUGGGGCUCAUGACGGUACCGUAAGAAUAAGCACCGGCUAACUACGUGCCAGCAGCCGCGGUAAUACGUAGGGUGCAAGCGUUAAUCGGAAUUACUGGGCGUAAAGCGUGCGCAGGCGGUUUUGUAAGACAGAUGUGAAAUCCCCGGGCUUAACCUGGGAACUGCGUUUGUGACUGCAAGGCUAGAGUACGGCAGAGGGGGGUGGAAUUCCUGGUGUAGCAGUGAAAUGCGUAGAUAUCAGGAGGAACACCGAUGGCGAAGGCAGCCCCCUGGGCCUGCACUGACGCUCAUGCACGAAAGCGUGGGGAGCAAACAGGAUUAGAAACCCUGGUAGUCC
rnacentral:rRNA from 1 species